AAAUUUUUGAAGUAAAUCAAGAUGAUAUGGUUGUAUUAAAAAUUUGUACACCAAGCCAAAUCCCAAUUUCAAUUUCUUAAUUUUCCGAAAUUGUUUUAAAGCACAAGUUCCAAUUACUACUUGGAAAUUUCAAAGUUAUCACGUAUGACGUCUUGAUGAAAUAAUAUUAACAGCUAGAAGAAUUUCACUUGACUCGACAACGUCAGUUACAGCCUCUUUCUUAAUUCUUACUGAAAUAAUAAAGUACACGAUAACUUUGACACUUGCUCUUCUUUAUCACUAGGUCCGGGGAUAAGAUUUAAAAUCGUAAAUAUAUUUAUCCAGAAUAUAAGCAGUUUGUUGCACAAACAUAUUUCACAGUUUCUACGGCGAGUCCAGAAGUAGGAUUUUGUGAUCAUCGCCUCCGUCGAUAAUGUGCAUCCCGUCGUAGCCGAGUAGAACGUGAUCACGAACGUAUAGCUUGGGACGCAGAGGUUCUCCGCUACUCAUCGCUGAUUUCCAAAGUAACACUAAGAACGAGACCGGGAACUAUAUAACUUCUCAAGAACUAUUAGGAAAGCCUAUUGUUGAAACAUUUUUAAGACAUUUUUAAGAAAGAGCAGUGCUAACUUGACACCCACCUCAAUUUUUGAAAAAUGUUUCAUCACUUGAGGGCACUAGGCCCUCUACGAGGGCAUAAAGCCAAAAAGAAAUAGGAAGUAGGAAGACAUAAGAAUAACAAAAAUUAGUUGCACAGUAAUAUUGAAUAUUCAAAAAAUUGAAUAAAAUUUCCAAAUACUAUUAUUGGAUCUUUAUUUACUUUAAAAAUUUAUUCAAAAUAUAAAAUUGAGGCUAAAUCAGAAUCAUCUCGCAGAAUAUACGGAGUAGAUAUAAAUUGACUUGAAACUGUAGAAUAUCAAAAAUAAAU